rnacentral:rRNA from 1 species
UGGGUCUCUCAUGGAAGAAGAAUCCAUCAAUAUGCCAUAAAAAAGGUGAACUGCAUAAUUCUUGGAAAAUUCAAAUCUUUAACCGCUUCUUGAACCCUUUGGUCAUCCUGAGGGUAUGCCUGUUUGAGUGGCAUUGAAACCUCACAUCUUAUAACUUUUGUUACUAGACGGCGGACAUGGACAUUGUACAUUUUUGUUAACUACUGGUCUUAAAUGCAUUGGUGGUUGCCAUGUGUAACUAAUACCUUUGUGUGAUAAGUAUCUUCACUGGGUUGUUGCGCAUGACCUGGUCAUAACUGUCCUUUGCGGGACUAUCAAUGUCAAAAUUGGCCUCAAAUCAGGUAAG